GGAUUAGGCAUGCAAGUCGAGCGAGAAAGCCCCCUUUCGGGGGUGAGUACAGCGGCGGAAGGGUGAGUAAUGCAUGGAUAACGUGCCCCCAAGACGGGGAUAACAUUUCGAAAGGAAUGCUAAUACCCGAUGAGACCACGGGCUCUCAGGUCCGGGGUUAAAGACAGCCUCUGUUUCAUGCCUUCGCUUGGGGAGUGGUCCAUGUACUAUUAGCUUGUUGGUGGGGUAAUGGCCUACCAAGGCUGUGAUGGUUAGCCGGCCUGAGAGGGUGUUCGGCCACACUGGGACUGAGACACUGCCCAGACUCCUACGGGAGGCUGCAGUCGAGAAUCUUCCGCAAUGCGCGAAAGCGUGACGGAGCGACGCCGCGUGGGUGAUGAAGGCCCUCGGGUUGUAAAACCCUGUCAAGUGGUAAGAAAUGCGGGGGGUUAAUAGCCCGCCCGUUUGACGUUACCACUGGAGGAAGCCCCGGCUAAUUCCGUGCCAGCAGCCGCGGUAAGACGGAAGGGGCGAGCGUUGCUCGGAAUCACUGGGCAUAAAGGGCACGUAGGCGGAAACGUAAGUCAGGAGUGAAAUCCCUCGGCUUAACCGAGGAACUGCUCUUGAUACUGCGUUUCUUGAGUGCGGGAGGGGAGAGUGGAAUUCCUGGUGGAGCGGUGAAAUGCGUAGAUAUCAGGAGGAACGCCGGUGGCGAAAGCGACUCUCUGGCCCGUAACUGACGCUGAGGUGCGAAAGCUAGGGUAGCGAACGGGAUUAGAUACCCCGGUAGUCCUAGCCGUAAACGAUGGGCACUAAGUAGAGGGGUUUU
rnacentral:rRNA from 1 species